rnacentral:rRNA from 1 species
CCUAGGGGUGCACCAGUGAGGAAUAUUGCACAAUGGGGGGAACCCUGAUGCAGCAACGCCGCGUGGAGGAUGACGCAUUUCGGUGUGUAAACUCCUUUCAUAUGUCAAGAAAAUGACGGUAGCAUAUGAAUAAGCACCGGCUAACUCCGUGCCAGCAGCCGCGGUAAUACGGAGGGUGCAAGCGUUACUCGGAAUCACUGGGCGUAAAGGACGCGUAGGCGGGUUGGAAAGUCAGGUGUGAAAUCCUACAGCUUAACUGUAGAACUGCACUUGAAACUUCUAAUCUAGAGUAUGGGAGGGGGAGAUGGAAUUAGUGGUGUAGGGGUAAAAUCCGUAGAUAUCACUAGGAAUACCUAAAGCGAAGGCGAUCUCCUGGAACAUUACUGACGCUAAGGCGUGAAAGCGUGGGGAGCAAACAGGAUUAGAUACCCCCGUAGUC